rnacentral:rRNA from 1 species
CCUACGGGGGGCAGCAGUGGGGAAUAUUGGACAAUGGGGGGAACCCUGAUCCAGCCAUGCCGCGUGUGUGAAGAAGGCCCUCGGGUUGUAAAGCACUUUCAGUGAGGAAGAACGCCUGGUGGUUAAUACCCAUCAGGAAAGACAUCACUCACAGAAGAAGCACCGGCUAACUCCGUGCCAGCAGCCGCGGUAAUACGGAGGGUGCGAGCGUUAAUCGGAAUUACUGGGCGUAAAGCGCGCGUAGGUGGCUUGAUAAGCCGGUUGUGAAAGCCCCGGGCUCAACCUGGGAAUGGCAUCCGGAACUGUCAAGCUAGAGUGCAGGAGAGGAAGGUAGAAUUCCCGGUGUAGCGGUGAAAUGCGUAGAGAUCGGGAGGAAUACCAGUGGCGAAGGCGGCCUUCUGGACUGACACUGACACUGAGGUGCGAAAGCGUGGGUAGCAAACAGGAUUAGAUACCCCAGUAGUC